AUCAAAGUAGCUCAGUUGGGAGAGCGUUAAACUGAGGAUCUAAAGGUCCCUGGUUCAAUCUCAGGCUUUGGCA